rnacentral:rRNA from 1 species
UACGGAGGGGGCUAGCGUUGUUCGGAAUUACUGGGCGUAAAGCGCACGUAGGCGGCUUUGUAAGUUAGAGGUGAAAGCCCAGGGCUCAACCCUGGAAUUGCCUUUAAGACUGCAUCGCUUGAACAUCGGAGAGGUAAGUGGAAUUCCGAGUGUAGAGGUGAAAUUCGUAGAUAUUCGGAAGAACACCAGUGGCGAAAGGCGACUUAC